CCAUGGUUGAAUACUUUUAUGGCUUCACAUCUACUUUUUUGGCUUCGAGAGGAAGAAAAUGAAGAUGUUUUUUCGAAAACAGUACACCUAGUAUAACUUGUAAACAAAUCAUUAUCCAAAUCAAACAUUAUUAGUUAUACGCAUUUUACUUGUACCAAUUAUAUUGGUUAUACUCAAUCUAAUUAUACUAGUUAUAUUUGUUUUAGUUUUGCACAAAUUCAAGUUGUAAUAGUUGGAGUUGUACUAGUAAUACUUUGCGUUAUUUUUUAUUUUGAAUCUCAUACGUAAAAGAUGAAAUUU
rnacentral:lncRNA from 1 species